ensembl:lncRNA
GACAUCAUGAAAUGUUUGUUCUGGCAGGUGAUUCUGGCUGCAGGAUGUUCAGGAAACAUGAUCCAGAUCUUUUGAAUCUUUCUGGAGUUAGAAUCUGUUUUUCUGUUCAUCCAGUGAUUUCCUACAUUUCCCAGAACCCCACAGAAGGGUGUCAGAUUCUGCUUCCAGCUCCUGAAGAUCUUCUUCCAGUUAAAACUUUUCUUAAAGGGAACAUAUUUCAUUCAUGAAGCUCUGACUAACAGACGUGAUGAAUGUAGAACUUCAUCGACAAACAACAAACUGGUUUCUGCUGCAGAUUUAACUGGUUUCAAGUGUUUUCCAGAAGUUUGUGUUUGAAUCAUGAAACAGGAAGAAACCAGGUGGUCUGAUCAAGAAAAAUCACUCUGGAUUCUAGGAAUAUUUUAAACAGGAGGAGACUGGAGGGGUUGAAGCUGAUGGAUCUGAUGCUGUCAGCAUACCUGGAUGUUGAGAUUCACCAAGAAGAUCCUUUCACCUGAACUGCUUGCAUCAAGGCUGAAGAUACAAGAUCCUCACCAGCAAAAUGGCUUCUCUCGUCACUGCGUUCAACGCUACAGCUACAGGCAUUAAAUUAAAGGAAGGAGUCUUUUCCUGCAGCAGUAAAGUAUCUCCAGCCGUGAUGGUGACCACACGGAGCUAAUCUCUGAACCCAAAACCACCUCCCCCGCACACACAAAAACAGCUCCUGACAACCACAACAACAUAUGGUGAACGCUAAGCUGCCGUCAGGUCAUAACAGCGAAGCUUCAAACUCUGGCACGUCGCUGCCCCGACUUCCCGGCAGCCGUCACAAGGGAUUACCGAUGAGCAGCACUUCAUCGAGUCGUGACUUCGAAC